rnacentral:rRNA from 1 species
AAUGAACGCUGGCGGCGUGCUUAAUACAUGCAAGUCGAACGGAGACGUUAUAGCAAUAUGAUGUCUUAGUGGCGAACGGGUGAGUAACGCGUUGGUGACCUGCCCCGAAGAGGGGGAUAACAGCUCGAAAGGGCUGCUAAUACCCCAUGUGGUCGCGAAGGUUAGAGGCUUUGCGAUUAAAGGAGUAAUCCACUUCGGGAGGGGCCUGCGUCCCAUCAGCUAGUUGGUAGGGUAAAAGCCUACCAAGGCGACGACGGGUAGGGGGCCUGAGAGGGUGACCCCCCACACUGGCACUGAAACACGGGCCAGACACCUACGGGUGGCAGCAGUAGGGGAUAUUGCACAAUGGGCGAAAGCCUGAUGCAGCAACGCCGCGUGCGCGAUGAAGGCCUUCGGGUCGUAAAGCGCUUUUCGGGGAGAUGAGGAAGGACAGUAUCCCCGGAAUAAGGUUCGGCUAACUACGUGCCAGCAGCCGCCGUAAUAC